rnacentral:rRNA from 1 species
AUACAUGCAGUCGAGCGGAGAUUUUGGAGCUUGCUCCAAAAUCUUAGCGGCGGACGGGUGAGUAACACGUGGGCAACCUGCCCUGCAGAUCGGGAUAACUCCGGGAAACCGGUGCUAAUACCGAAUAGUUUGCGGCCUCUCCUGAGGCUGCACGGAAAGACGGUUUCGGCUGUCACUGCAGGAUGGGCCCGCGGCGCAUUAGCUAGUUGGUGGGGUAAUGGCCCACCAAGGCGACGAUGCGUAGCCGACCUGAGAGGGUGAUCGGCCACACUGGGACUGAGACACGGCCCAGACUCCUACGGGAGGCAGCAGUAGGGAAUCUUCCGCAAUGGACGAAAGUCUGACGGAGCAACGCCGCGUGAGUGACGAAGGUUUUCGGAUCGUAAAACUCUGUUGUGAGGGAAGAACAAGUACCAACUAACUACUGGUACCUUGACGGUACCUCACCAGAAAGCCACGGCUAACUACGUGCCAGCAGCCGCGGUAAUACGUAGGUGGCAAGCGUUGUCCGGAAUUAUUGGGCGUAAAGCGCGCGCAGGCGGUCCCUUAAGUCUGAUGUGAAAGCCCACGGCUCAACCGUGGAGGGUCAUUGGAAACUGGGGGACUUGAGUGCAGAAGAGGAAAGUGGAAUUCCAUGUGUAGCGGUGAAAUGCGUAGAGAUGUGGAGGAACACCAGUGGCGAAGCGACUUUCUGGUCUGUAACUGACGCUGA